rnacentral:tRNA from 3 species
GCCCGGUUAGCUCAAUCGGUAGAGCGUGAGACUCUUAAAUGAGUACACUAUCUCAAGGUUGCGGGUUCGACCCCCGCAUCGGGCU